rnacentral:misc_RNA from 1 species
GAUGAAGAACGUAGUGAAAUGCGAUAAGUAAUGUGAAUUGCAGAAUUCAGUGAAUCAUCGAAUCUUUGAACGCACAUUGCGCCCCUUGGUAUUCCGAGGGGCAUGCCUGUUCGAGCGUCAUUAUAACCCCUCAAGCUCAGCUUGGUAUUGGGGCCUGCCGCACGGGCAGCCCUUAAAAUCAGUGGCGGUGCCAUCUGGCUCUAAGCGUAGUAAUUCUUCUCGCUAUAGAGUCCCGGUGGAUGCUUGCCAUUAACCCCCAAUUUUCUAUGGUUGACCUCGGAUCAGGUAGGGAUACCCGCUGAACUUAAGCAUAUCAAUACGCGGAGGA